GACAGAGGGUGCAAACGUUGCUCGGAUUUACUGGGCGUAAAGCGCGUGUAGGCGGGCGACUAAGUCGGAUGUGAAAUCCCUGGGCUCAACCUAGGAACUGCAUUCGAAACUGGUCACCUAGAGUGAUGGAGAGGAAAGCGGAAUUCCCGGUGUAGAGGUGAAAUUCGUAGAUAUCGGGAGGAACACCGGUGGCGAAGGCGGCGACCUGGGUAGAUACUGACGCUGAGGCGCGAAAGCGUGGGGAGGAAACAGG
rnacentral:rRNA from 1 species